AACGAACGCUGGCGGCGUGCCUAAUACAUGCAAGUCGAACGUUAGAUGUAGCAAUACAUCGAAAGUGGCGAACGGGUGAGUAACACGUAAGUAAUCUGCCUUUAAGAUUGGGAUAACCUUGCCAACGCGGGGCUAAUACCGGAUGUGAUUAACAGAACGCAUGUUUUGUUAAUUAAAGGAGUGAUCCGCUUAAAGAUGAACUUGCGGCCCAUUAGUUAGUUGGCGGGGUAACGGCCCACCAAGACCGCGAUGGGUAGCCGGCCUGAGAGGGUGUACGGCCACAUUGGGACUGAGAUACGGCCCAGACUCCUACGGGAGGCAGCAGUAGGGAAUUUUGCGCAAUGGACGAAAGUCUGACGCAGCAACGCCGCGUGAGGGAUGAAGGUCUUCGGAUUGUAAACCUCUGUUGAAUGGGAAAAAAGUAGACAAUAUUUGAUGGUACCAUUUUGAGGUAAGCACCGGCUAACUACGUG
rnacentral:rRNA from 1 species